UCCAUCUCAUUUUCCACAUUCUCCAAUCUCCCGAUUCCCCCACCCCUAUUCUCCCGAAAGAUGAGGAUGACGAAGACUACGAAGACGAUGAUGACUGAUGAGGGGGGCGAGGACGACGAAGACGACGAGGUUCAGGUCUUACAAUCCUCCAGAGGGCCACCGGUUCAGUCGGCGGACGACGACGAGGAUGACGAUGAAGAUGACGAUGGUGAAGGCGGAGACGACGAUGACGAUGGUGAAGGCGGAGACGACGAUGACGAUGACGAUGACGAUGACGACGACGAGGAGGAAGACGGUGACGAGGAUCAAGACGGUGAAGAAGAGUUUGGCUCUCGACAUCCAGCUCUUCGUCUACACCGUCGAAACGGCUCACACGCGAGAAGGGCCUGAUCUCUCACCCUCCG
rnacentral:lncRNA from 1 species